UGGCUCAGGAUGAACGCUGGCGGCGUGCCUAACACAUGCAAGUCGAACGGAACUUCUUCGACAGAAUUCUUCGGAAGGAAGUUUGAUUAAGUUUAGUGGCGGACGGGUGAGUAACGCGUGAGUAACCUGCCUUUGAGAGGGGAAUAACUUCCCGAAAGGGAUGCUAAUACCGCAUGAUGCAUAGAAGUCGCAUGGCUUUUAUGCCAAAGAUUUAUCGCUCAAAGAUGGACUCGCGUCCGAUUAGCCAGUUGGCGGGGUAACGGCCCACCAAAGCGACGAUCGGUAGCCGGACUGAGAGGUUGAACGGCCACAUUGGGACUGAGACACGGCCCAGACUCCUACGGGAGGCAGCAGUGGGGAAUAUUGCACAAUGGGGAAACCCUGAUGCAGCGACGCCGCGUGGAGGAAGAAGGUCUUCGGAUUGUAAACUCCUGUUGUUGGGGAAGAUAAUGACGGUACCCAACAAGGAAGUGACGGCUAACUACGUG
rnacentral:rRNA from 1 species